GGUUAAGCGACUAAGCGUACACGGUGGAUGCCCUGGCAGUCAGAGGCGAUGAAGGACGUGCUAAUCUGCGAUAAGCGUCGGUGAGGUGAUAUGAACCGUUAUAACCGGCGAUUUCCGAAUGGGGAAACCCAGUGUGAUUCG
rnacentral:rRNA from 1 species